GAUGAACGCUGGCGGCGUGCCUAAUACAUGCAAGUCGAGCGAACGGACGAGAAGCUUGCUUCUCUGAUGUUAGCGGCGGACGGGUGAGUAACACGUGGAUAACCUACCUAUAAGACUGGGAUAACUUCGGGAAACCGGAGCUAAUACCGGAUAAUAUUUUGAACCGCAUGGUUCAAAAGUGAAAGACGGUCUUGCUGUCACUUAUAGAUGGAUCCGCGCUGCAUUAGCUAGUUGGUAAGGUAACGGCUUACCAAGGCAACGAUGCAUAGCCGACCUGAGAGGGGGACGGGCACACUGGGACCGGAGCACCGGUCCACACCCCUAGGGGGGGCAGCAGGGGGAAAUUUGCCGCAAGGGGCGAAAGCCUGACGGACAAACCCCGGGGGGGGGAUGAAGGGUUUCGGAUCGUAAAACCUUUUUUUUAGGGAAAAACAUAUGUGUAAGUAACGGGGCCAUUUUUGACGGAACCAAAUAAAAAAGCCCCGCCUAACUACGG
rnacentral:rRNA from 1 species